AUGGCUUGGGCAAAGGUGUGGCUGGGAGAACGUCCUGGGCAAGAGGGGAAGGGCCUCCGAGUGCCUCUCCCGUCCCCUCUGUGCUUCUCUUCUUGCGAUGCUCUCUGGAUGCCCGUGGGAGCUUUCCAAGGUGGCACAGUGCUUCCCACUGAAGACAGGGCACCCGGGGCCCCAACAGGGGAGCAACAGCCUCAAAGUCGCACAGCAGAGCUGAAAGGCUCAAGGCUCUCUCCUGAUAGGCUGGGCAGGAGCAAAAAUGUCCUAGGUCCAUGUCAGGGAUUGGGGCUCCAGCAGGAGCGUCUGAAGCAGUGUGCAUCAUCUGGUCAGGCCAGGGUUUCACCAUCCACGCGGGAGAAGUGUUUUCCAAAAGUGCCCUCUACCCCAGCCUAUUCCUUCAGCCAGUACCCGGGUCCCCUCGGUCAUGGCUCUGCCUCCUCCAACCCAGACUACCUGAAAGAGGGAGACAGAAAGACACAGAUUGCAGGAAAAACACAGCCUUUGCCUUGGCAUUCGAGGCUUCCCUGUUCUGCCCAGUGUCUGGCUGGCGCUUCUUCCUGCCCCUGCCAGGGCUCACCUCCAACCUGGAGAUUCCCUCCCCUGCAUCCAGGCACCACUAGAGCUCCAGAAAAAUAUUCUGAGCAGCCCACUCCUUGCCUCCAGAGACAAAUACAUCCCACUAAUAUUUAUUGAGCACCUACUAUGUGCCAGGCACUGAACUGGGAAUCCAGCAGUGAACAAGAUGGAUGGCAGUGCCUUCAUAGAGUUUACAGUCUACUUGUUUUUUUACAGGUGAAAAAAACAAGUAAAGAGUGGAGAAGUCAGACGCUGACAAGUGAUGGGAAAAUAUAUGAAGCAGGGAUGGAGUGAAAUACAAUUUUAUUAUUUAUUUAUUUAUUUUGAGACGGAGUUUCACUCUGUUGCCCAGGCUGGAGUGUAAUGGCACGAUCUCGGCUCACUGCAACCUCCACCUCCCGGAUUCAAACGAUUCUCCUGCCUCAGCCUCCCCAGUAGCUGGGAUUACAGGCAUGUGCCACCAUGCCUGGCUAAUUUUUGUAUUUUUAGUAGAGACGGGGUUUCACCAGGUUGGCCAGGCUGGUCUUGAACUCCUGGACUCAAGUGAUCUGCUUGCCUCAGCCUCCCAAAGUGCUGGGAUUACGGGUGUGAGCCACUGCGUCUCGCUGGAAUGCAAUUUUAAACAGGAUGGUCAGGGAGGGCUGCAGGGAGAGAGGGAGUUGGGGACCUGAGGGAACAGCAUUCCAGGCUGAAGGAACAGCCUGUCCAGAGGCUCUGAGGCAGCGAGGAGGCCCAUGUGGCUGGAGCAGAGUGAGCAAGGGGGAGAGAGGGGGGAGGAGAAAGCAGGGAGGGAAUACGGCAGGUCAUCCAGGGUCUUGCAAGCCUCAGGAAGGACUUAGGCUUUGACCAUGAGGGAGGUGGGAGCCAUGGAGGGCUGCCGGUAGAGGAGGGACGGGCCCUGACUCAGGGGCUCACAGGCGCCCUCUAGCACCUGCUACAGGGAGGACAGACUUGUAGGGGACAAGGGCAGGGGCUGUGGACCUGGGUGGGGGUGACUGGGCUGGGCCAGGGGUUGAGAAGUGGGCGGAUUCUGGUUAGACUUUGAAGGCGGAGCUGAUGGAACCAGCUGAAGGAUGGAUAGAGGGCCUUGGGAGGAAGAGAGGAACAGGCUGAUGCCAAUGAAAUCAGAAUAAUAACAACUGUUCCCACUAAUGGAGCAGGGGGAAGGUUUAGUGAUGAAGGCCGUGGCUUUAAAGCUGGGUUUAAACCCUGGCUCUGCCCCUUCCCAGCUUAAUCUUGCUCUGCCUCAGUUUCUCCACCUGUAAACCGCCAAUGAUAACAGCACCCGGCCAGGCACAGUGGCUCACACCUGUAAUCCCAGCACUUUGGGAGGCUGAGGUGGGCAGAUCACCUGAGGUCAGGAGUUUUAGACCAGCCUGGCCAACAUGGCGAAACCCAGUCUCUACUAAAAAUACAAAAAUUAGCCAGGCAUGAUGGCAGGUGCCUGUAAUCCUAGAUACUCAGGAGGCUGAGGCAGGAGAAUCGCUUGAACCCGGGAGGCAGAGGUUGCAGUGAGCCGAGAUCGCACCACUGCACUCCGGCCUGGACGAGAGAGCAAGACGCUGUCUCAAAAAUAAUAAUAAGUAAAUAAAUAAAUACUAGCAUCCACGCCAGGGGCAGCCGUAAGGCCACAUGAAAAGCCCCUAGCAUCUCACAGGCUCUCAAAGCGUGACCAUGACUGAGUGCCUGCUGGCUCCCAUGACGACCUGUCUCCCUGCAACGCUGCUGCCUCGAGGCAGAAAAUGUUGUCACUACUGCAUUUCACAGAGUGUAGAAACAGGAGGUGGCAAGAGAGGCUGGGGGAGGGAGAAGAGGGGGCCCUAUCUACCCGGAAGUGAGAGAGGCCCUGGGUUUGUCCCGAGCAGCCCACACAGCUUCUCUCACCCUAGGGUACUGUCUGGGCUGACAGGUCCAAAGUGUUUUUCUCAUUUCUCAGAUGGGGGAGCUGAGACCUCCCCAGCUGGUGCUGCACCACCCACUAGUAGCCCCUGCUCUGCCGCUAUAGGUCUGGGAGUGGUCUGGGGAUCUGGGGAGCUCAGAACCCAUUCAAUGCCCAGAGAGGGUGGGUUAGCUGCCUCAGGACACACAGCCAGGGAACAGCAAAGGCAGAUAGGGGCCCCCGUCUGUUGGGGAAGACAAAGCUGGACUCUGCCAUCAACCCCAGCUGUGUGUGUGGUCAGGGAUGGGGCAAAGGGCAGGGCAUUAGGGUGGGGUGGGAGCCCAGAGGAGGUUGAAACUGUCUCUUUUUUUGUUUUGUUUUGAGACAGGGUCUCACUCUGUUGCCCAGGCUGGAGUGCAGUGGCGCAAUCUCAGCUCACUGCAACCUCCGCCUCCAGGUUCAAGCGAUUCUCCUGCUUCAGCCUCCCAAGUAGCUGGGAUUACAGGCGCGUACCACCAUGCCUGGCUAAUUUUUGUAUUUUUAGUAGAGACAGGGUUUCGCCAUGUUGGCCAGGCUGGUCUUGAACUCUUGACCUCAGGUGAUCCACCCGCCUCAGCCUCCUAAAGUACUGGGAUUGCAGGUGUGAGCCAUUGCACCCGGCCAAAACUGUCUCCUCUGAAGGCUUCCAUCCUCUGCCUCCAGCAUGGCUCACUGGGAUCUCCACCCUGGUCUCCUGUCUCCAGCCCUCCCCCCACCACAGUCCGUCCUCCCUGCUGCAGCCAGGGAUUACCUGUGAGCACUGAGUUAGGUCCCAUGCCUCCUCUGCCCACAGCCCUCUAUGGCUCCCACCUCCCUCAGGGUCAAGGCCCAAGUCCUCCCUGCAGUCUGCGAGGCCCUGCAUGAACUGCCCCGGCCUCUCUCCGCCCUCCCUUCCUCCCUCUCUCCCCUUUGCUCCAGUCAUACGGGCCUCCUCACUGUUCCUCCAACAUGCCAGGUGCCGUCCUGCCUCAGGGCCUUUGCACAGGCUGUUCCCACUGCCUGGAACACCCUUUCCUGACUCUCUGUUUAACCACCUCCUCCGCAUCAUAUCCUGAAAUGUCACCUUUCCAGAGAGGCGUACCCCAGUCACUGACUCCUCUCCACCUUCCUCGCAUCCCCCACAGCGCCGACUGCGAGCUGACAUUCUCCCAUGCUAUUAUUUGGCUCUUGUCCCAUGGGACUGCAGGCUCUGUGAAGGCAAGAUCUGGUCUCUCUGGGUCACUGCUGAAUUUCAGUGCCCAGCAUGGAGUCUGGCACACAGUAGGCGCACAAUAAAUGCUGACCCUGUACUGCAUGAUUACAGUCUAGACGUCUGAGGGUCGUUCAGUCCUCAGACCUCAUAGAAGGUACACUGCCGAGAACACCCUCUCCCAGCCCCAAGCUCUGAACCGCCAUCCCUCAUCAUCCUCUCAGCCUCCCCUUCCCCACUAAGAUCUUCCCUCAAGAGGGCCUGGGAAGGGGACCUCUCCCGCCCCCACUGCAGCCCCAGGCUCCCGCAACAGGGUGGCAUCUGAGGCUCCUGCCCUCAAAACAUCAACACAGGCUUGGUGACUCAAGCCUCUAGAGGGCGGGUGAGUAUGACCCCCAUAAAAUCCAGGGUAAUUCAUAUGGCCCCCGUCCCUCUCCUGUUCAACACUUCCAAGGUGGUGGUCCCAGGCCACCUUCACCACCUCACGGCCACCCCGACCCGUUUCCCAGAGCUGCCCCAGGCCAGCAGUGAGCUGUUCCUGUGGCCCCAGUGCCCUUCUCUGGAGACCCCUCCUUGGGCCAGAAGACGCCCCGCUUGAGGGCCAUCUCGGCCAGAGGACCUCUUUGGGGACCCAGAUAUCCAAGGGUGAGUGUGGGUAGCGGGCAUUAGGGUGGGGCUAUGGGAGAGAUAAGGGGGUAGGGAGAGACCAGAGAAGGAAGAGAGAGACAGAGCCUCAGGGAGACGGAGAGAAAAACGGCAGAGACAAAUGCACAGAGACACCCAGAGAGAAAGACAAAGAGAAGGAGACAGACACACAGGUUGAGACACACAGAGAAAAAAAGAGCAGAGACAGAAAUGACAGAGACAGAGACACAGAGAGAGACAGACACCGUGGGAAGAAAGAGACAGAAAUGGACAGAGACGUGCAGAGAAACAGAGACAAAAAAGACACACAGAGAGAAAAACAGCAGAGACAGAAAUGGAGAGACAGAGACAGAGAUGAUCACAGGCAACCAAAUCAUCAGGGAAAGAAAGAAACAGAGGCAGAGAUGGAGAGAAACACACAGAGAGGAAAAAAACAGAGACCAAAAUGAGCAGAGACACAGAGACAGAGACAAAAGAGAAAGAGAUGAGGAGACAAAGAUGAGAGACACAGAUAUAAAUGAGACAGAGACAAGAGACAGAAACAAAAGAGGGAGAUACAGAUAAGAGAUGGAGAUGAGAGGGAGAGCGACAAAAGAGAUGAGAGAGACAAAGAGGACAGGCACAGAGACACAAGAGAGUCAGAGACAAGAGACAGAAAGAAGAGGGAGAGAGAUGAGAGAGAGAGACAAAAGAGAAACGAGACAGAGAUGAGAGACAGAGACGAGAGAGAGAGGGAGAAAAACAGCAGAGACAGAAACAGGCAGAGAGACAGACACCGACACAGACAGCCGGGAAGCAAAAGACCGACGCCGGCAAGGCCGGGUCAGGAGAGAGGCCAGGCGGGCAGCGCGAGGUGGGAAAGCAGUGCCGGCCCGGGAGGCCGCCCUGGGCGCCUGCCUCCCCCGCCGCUCUUCGGGGGUCCCCGGCCGCCGCCCUCCCACCACCCCGAGCCCCGCCGCCACCUGGGGUCGCUGACGAGCAGCAGCACCGAGCCGUCCUGCAGGCGCGCGUCGCGCACCGUCUGGUGGUCGUCCAGCCGCCGCGCGUUGUAGUAGAAGGCGCGCUUCCAGGAGCUCACGCCCUGGCCCACCAGCUGGGCGCGCAGGUCGCUGAGUGUGUCCCGCGGCCGCACGGUCAGCGGCAGCAGCAGCGCCUCGUCCGCCAGGUGUACCUUGAUGUGGUAGCGCUUCCAGCGCGACAGCCCCCGCCGCAGCCCCUCCAUGGCGCCCGUCCGGCUCCGGCUCCAGCUCUGGCCCCGG
rnacentral:lncRNA from 1 species